AGUGAACGCUGGCGGUAGGCCUAACACAUGCAAGUCGAACGGCAGCACAGUAAGAGCUUGCUCUUACGGGUGGCGAGUGGCGGACGGGUGAGGAAUACAUCGGAAUCUACUUUUUCGUGGGGGAUAACGUAGGGAAACUUACGCUAAUACCGCAUACGACCUACGGGUGAAAGCAGGGGAUCUUCGGACCUUGCGCGAUUGAAUGAGCCGAUGUCGGAUUAGCUAGUUGGCGGGGUAAAGGCCCACCAAGGCGACGAUCCGUAGCUGGUCUGAGAGGAUGAUCAGCCAAACUGAAACUGAGACACGGUCCAGACGCGUACGGGAGGCAGCAGUGGGGAAUAUUGGACAAUGGGCGCAAGCAUGAUCCAGCCAUACCGCGAGGGUGAAGAAGGCCUUCGGGUUGUAAAGCCCUUUUGUUGGGAAAGAAAAGCAGCAGGUUAAUACCCCGCUGUUCUGACGGUACCAAAAGAAUAAGCACCGGCGAACUUCGG
rnacentral:rRNA from 1 species